UACGGGGGGGGCAAGCGUUGUUCGGAAUUACUGGGCGUAAAGGGCUCGUAGACGGCCAACUAAGUCAGACGUGAAAUCCCUCGGCUUAACCGGGGAACUGCGUCUGAUACUGGAUGGCUUGAGUUUGGGAGAGGGAUGCGGAAUUCCAGGUGUAGCGGUGAAAUGCGUAGAUAUCUGGAGGAACACCGGUGGCGAAGGCGGCAUCCUGGACCAACACUGACGCUGAGGAGCGAAAGCCAGGGGAGCAAACGGG
rnacentral:rRNA from 1 species